UUGUAUAACUUUCAGCAACGGAUCUCUUGGCUCUCGCAUCGAUGAAGAACACGGCGAAAUGUGAUAAGUAAUGUGAAUUGCAGAAUUCAGUGAAUCAUCGAAUCUUUGAACGCACCUUGCGCUCCUUGGUAUUCUGAGGAGCAUGCCUGUUUGAGUGUCAUGG
rnacentral:rRNA from 1 species